GGUGCUCGAGUGGCGAACGGGUGAGUAACACGUGAGUAACCUGCCCUUGACUUUGGGAUAACUUCAGGAAACUGGGGCUAAUACCGGAUAGGAGCUCCUGCUGCAUGGUGGGGGUUGGAAAGUUUCGGCGGUUGGGGAUGGACUCGCGGCUUAUCAGCUUGUUGGUGGGGUAGUGGCUUACCAAGGCUUUGACGGGUAGCCGGCCUGAGAGGGUGACCGGCCACAUUGGGACUGAGAUAAGGCCCAG
rnacentral:rRNA from 1 species